rnacentral:rRNA from 1 species
CGUUAAAACUCCAGUUCCCGUACGAUUAUCGAAGUUAAGCACCGUCGAGCCUGGUCAUUACCUAGAUGGGUGACCGUUUAGGAAUACCAGGUGCUGUAAG